AUACUUACCCAGCAGGUGAGACACCAUGAUCAAGCAGGUCGUUUUCCCAGGAUGAGGCUUGUCCAUUGCACUGCAGAUGUGCUGAUCCCUGUGAUUUCCCCAAAUGUGGGAAACUCGACUCCAUAAUUGAUAGCAGUGGGGGACUGCGUUCACGCUUUCCCUGG